AUACGUAGGGGGCGAGCGUUGUCCGGAAUGAUUGGGCGUAAAGGGCGCGUAGGCGGCCCUUUAAGUCUGGAGUGAAAGUCCUGUUCUUAAGCUGGGAAUGGCUUUGGAUACUGGCGGACUUGAGUGCAGGAGAGGUAAGUGGAAUUCCAAGUGUAGCGGUGAAAUGCGUAGAGAUUGGGAGGAACACCAGUGGCGAAGGCGACUUACUGGACUGUAACUGACGCUGAGGCGCGAAAGUGUGGGGAGCAAACAGGAUUAGAUACCCUGGUAGUCCACACUGUAAACGAUGAAUGCUAGGUGUAGGGGGUUUCGAGCCCUUCAGUGCUGCAGCCAACACAUUAAGCAUUCCGCCUGGGGAGUACGGUCGCAAGGUUGAAACUCAAAUGAAUUGGCGGGG
rnacentral:rRNA from 1 species